rnacentral:tRNA from 1 species
GGUGAGGUGUCCGAGUGGCUGAAGGAGCACGCCUGGAAAGUGUGUAUACGGCAACGUAUCCGGGGUUCGAGUCCCCGCCUCACCGCCA